UACGUAGGGGCAAGCGUUGUCCGGAUUAUUGGGCGUAAAGAGCUCGUAGGCGGUUUGGUAAGUCGGAUGUGAAAUCUCCAGGCUCAACCUGGAGGGUCAUUCGAUACUGCCAUGACUAGAGUUCGGUAGGGGAGUGUGGAAUUCCUGGUGGAGCGGUGAAAUGCGCAGAGAUCAGGAGGAACACCCGUAGCGAAGGCGGCACUCUGGGCCGAUACUGACGCUGAGGAGCGAAAGCGUGGGGAGCGAACAGG
rnacentral:rRNA from 1 species